CAAAGAGCUACUUCACCUCCUGUUACAACACAAAGAUAUGCCUAUACUAUAUAUGUAUAUAAUUGUUGUGUGACAUCACCAUGGCUAAAUUUUUCUCUUUAAUAAGCCGCUUACUUCUUAAAUGUACAAAAGAAGCCCAAUCGGACAUUAGGAGAGUUGUCAUAAACGAUCUGCCAUCCUUUGUAAGGAGAACACCAAUUAUUACCCUCGCCUACCCAAGCUGAGAAACUAAAAGAAAAAGCAUAAGCAAAAUAGAAAGUGGAGGAUGCCAAAAUCUAAUAUUAAAUUGUUAAUUACGAGUAUAUUAAUAAUUUAUAAUACUACUAAUAAUAUAAUAA